AUUCCUACGGGACGCAGCAGUGGGGAAUAUUGCACAAUGGGGGAAACCCUGAUGCAGCGACGCCGCGUGAGUGAAGAAGUAUCUCGGUACGUAAAGAUCUUUAAGCAGGGACGAAGAAAUGACGGUACCUGAAGAAUAAGCUCCGGCUAACUACGUGCCAGCAGCCGCGGUAAUACGUAGGGAGCAAGCGUUAUCCGGAUUUACUGGGUGUAAAGGGCGUGUAGGCGGGCCUGUAAGUCAGAAGUGAAAUCUGGGGGCUUAACCCCCAAACUGCUUUUGAAACUGCGGGUCUUGAGUGAUGGAGG
rnacentral:rRNA from 1 species